rnacentral:misc_RNA from 1 species
AGCGUCAUUACACCACUCAAGCCUCGCUUGGUCUUGGGCGUCGCGGUCCGCCGCGCGCCCCAAUGUCUCCGGCUGAGCCGUCUGUCUCUAAGCGUUGUGAUAAACAAUCCGCUUGCGAGUAUGGGCUGGCUUGUUCGCCGUAAAACCCCCCAUUUUACAAGGUUGACCUCGGAUCAGGUAGGGAUACCCGCUGAACUUAA